rnacentral:tRNA from 1 species
GCCCCAGAUGCCUAAAAAACUGGCCUCCCAUGCCAGGGAUUGAGGGUUCGAGUCCCUUCUGGGGUG